GAGUCCUAUAGUUGCUGUAGUCCAGAGGCCUGUCAGUUCCUGUUUUAACGCAUAUGUAGUCGUAAUUGAGUUCUAACACGGCCUUGGAUGUUUCUGUCCUAAAUAGCUGACAUUGCAUCUUCAAGACUGUGUGAGUAAUCCUGACUUUUUUUUUUAACUCUGUAAAUUAAUUACAUGCCCUGAGAGGGAGUGAUUGUGAUUAGAAAAUACUGAAGUAGCAGAUGAUUCAUUUUCAAGGUGCUGUUCUCUAUGUAUCAAGUUCAAUGCAAUUAAUCGUAAAGCUUCUCAGACCUGGCAGGGUUAUUCCAGCUUUUGGCCAUGAAUCACAGUCAAGCUGCAUUUUCAAGGAGGCUGUUCACUGCAUUUGCCAGCCAGGUUUGUUUUGUGGGGUCAGGAAAGUGAUAAAGGUCCAAUAGGAGCAGGUUAAUACAGGCUGUUGGUGACAAAGCAACGGCUGAGAGCCCUUGAGUCAGGCAAGUUUCAAGAUUUCCCACCCCCCAGGGUCCACAGCUGGGAGGGCUCAGCUCAUGAUAGGCAGUCCUGUAGCGACCCAGGUGCACAGCAGUUAAGAGCACAGAAGGAGGAGAAAUGUGAAAUGACAGUAAUACUUUGCUGUACUGUCAUCUGAAGCUGAACUAAAUCAUAUUCUGGUUCUGUUGAUGUGGUAGCGAGCUGGAUGAGAAAUCCUUGGCUCGAUAUUUUAAAAAAGCCUUUCAAGAAGCAUGUUAAACACACACAGACAACAACCGUAACGGAAGAAAGUAUGUGGAUUGGAAUGUGUGGUUGGAGCGGAUCAAAUUAUCCCAGGGAAGCCGUUGUUAGGUUUGUGUAAUUGCUGGGGGUGACUUCUGUUGCUAACCAGGUUGAAGAGAAAGCUGGAGCAGAUUGAAACGAGAAACUAGGAAACAUCAGCGUUUUAUUACCUUCUAUAGCAUACACUGCAGGAUAGAAUUAAUACUGGGUAUAGAUUGGUGAGUGUAAGCAGUUCACUUUUUAUUUUUAAAACAUUAUCGAUUUCUCCUAGCUUAUUAUGAAAAUUGGGCUUUUGUCUAUGGAGUUAAUAUUGAGAAAUAAUUUUUCCUUCUCCCAAAUAACCUUUAUACUUUUUUUCUCAAUAUAGCACAAAGCUAGGUAAUUUCUUUUUAUUUGGCAUUGUUUUCCAGUUUGCUUUUUGUCUAAUUUUUCCUCUUUAGAUUUGCCGAUAUUAAUGUAUAUAUUUGUGCUGUGUAUAAUCUUAAGCAUAAAUCACUUGAAGAGUUUUAAAAAUCAUGGGUUUCUGUGGCAAAUAUAAACUUCUAAUAGCUAGAGUACUUGGCAAUUCCUGUAAAAAUGUUAUUUUUAUACCAAGAGCAGUUUCUAUUUGGUUGCACCUAUUUAAAGGACUGACAUGAUUUAAUCCAUAGGAAAAGAAUAGUUGUAUUUCUGUAAAAUAGUUGUAUUUCUGUAAAAAUUUUAUGUUUUGGUCACACCGGACAUGCUGUUUCAUUGUUAAAAGAUUUUUGCCUUCUAAAAUAUGACCCCUUUUAGGUCAUACAAAUGGAUGAGGUUUGUAAAAGGAAAGAAAAAUAACAUAGAAUCCUUUUCUCUAUCAGCCAAAUGUAUGUAAAAUAGUUUUAAAAAGUGUAAUUCUAAUAUAUGCUUUCAGAAAUGCAUUUACUUUAUGGAGAAACUUUUGUUUCUUUAUUGAGAUAGAAGAGCGAGUUCAUUUCUUGAGUUGUUAGAGCUGUGGACACUAAUAGCAGUAGUUGACAUGGCUCUACAUUCCUAACGGAAUGCAAGUGGAGGGAAGAGUGCAUCUCUUGAAGGACUAUAAUCUCACCCCUCAAGGAGGUGUGGCGCUCAGAUCAGCUGCGCAUCCAAUUCAGAAAGUGUUUAGAGCACGGCUCAGGGCAGUUCUAGUGAGAGUCUAGACACCGUGCCUUGGUGCUUCUUCCAGGACCUUCAUCUCUUCACUUCUUGCUAAAAAGCUGCUAUCACAUCUCUUUUUCAUGAAAGGACAGGAUAUUAAAAAAAGAGUAGAGGGGAGCCAGGUGCCCAGUGGACAGGUGUCCAUGAGCCAGGUGUUGUGAAAAAGGGAAAUACUUCCCAAACAGCAGUAGCUCAUCUUUGUUCCCUCUACUUCUCUUUAUUUCCUAUCACCAAUUUUGUCUAAGUGUAGACGUUCUUUUGCAGAUGAGGUUCUAUGAAACUAUGCAUAUCUGCCAUAGACAGAUGGAUUUGACAAAAGAUGUAUCCAAGAAGGAGUGUUCGUGAUGUAAUACUUGAGAAAUCUUCCUGAAUACAAAUUGGCUUUUGGAAACUAUUAGCACUACCUAGUAAAGCAAUGACGUAAAUCCAGAUUGAAAAAAAAUUCUUGAUUGAAUUACAUUUUCCUGUGUUUCAUAUGGUGAAUUUUGCUUUUGGAAGGGCUUGCUUGUCUCUGAGACUUUUUUCCCAGUAAUAUAUAUAUAGGACUAGGACUAGGACUAAUCUCAUUGCUUACUCUUGCUGAAGAAUUUAAUUAUUUUUAGCUGGCAUUUUCAAAAAACUUGUUGUUCCACCUGGAGCAUGUUUUAGAGAAAGCAGAGCAAAAGAACAAAAUGAAACAAACACUGUCCUCCAUCCCCAACACCUCAGAAAGAGGUAAAUGCUUUAGAUUCGGAUGAUUCCCUCUGUUUACGGAGCUUGACACUACCCAUUGGAAGAGGAGGAGUUUUAUAUAAUUACAGAAUUUUUCCAUUUUAAUUAUAUAACAUAUGCGUGUGAUACAAUUCCACAUUAUAUUAGUUACUGGCCAAAAUUUUGUCUCUCUGAUUUCCAAGAAGCAGAAUAGUAUAGCAAAUCAUGGGGUCAGUGAAAUCAUAGUCAUUACAUUUCUCCAAGCCUCAGUCUCUAUGUCUGUAAAAUGAAAAUAAUGAUGUGUGUCCUGGUAUUUCACUGUUUUGGUGAAUAUCAGAAGCAUGAUCAGAAAGUGCUUGUGAAAGAACAUUUUAAUUCUUUGUACAUAGUGAUGUACUGUACAAUGAUACAUUAUUAUUACAGAAGUUCAUAGCACUAGUUAGUUUUCUUUACUUCUAAAAGCGUUUCCAGUAUUGGGCAAGUACUUAAAGCAAAGAAAGUCUUUACUGUUCGAUCUUGAAAAGUUAAAGGUUUUCAUCUCUCUGUUGUUUGAGUAUUAAAAAUACUAAAAAUAUGGAUGGAUCUAGAGAUGAUCAAAAUACAUGAAAUAAGUCAGAGAAAGAUAAAUACCAUAUCACUUACAUAUGGAAUCUAAAAAAAAUUAUAAAGAUGAACUUAAAAAACAGAAACAGACUCAGACAAAAACAAACAUAGAGUAUCAAAGGGGAAAGGUGGGGCAGAGGAAUAAAUUAGGAAUUUGGAAUUAACAUAUACACACUACUAUAUAUAAAAUAGAUAUUAACAAGGACUUACACUCAAUAUCCUUUAAUAACCUAUAUGGGAAAAGAAUCUGAUAUAACUGAGUAUAUCUGAAUCAUUUAGUAUAACUGAAUCACUUUGCUGUAUACCUGAAGCUAACACAACAUUGUAAAUCAGCUAUACUCCAAAGUAAAAUAAAAAUUAAAACAAAUACCAAUAGGGUUACUUAAAUUUCUAAGUGCCAUGUAAAUGUUACUUAUGACAACUAUUAUUAGUAUAUUAAUAAAAGGUAUACAUUAUCAAGUAAAAUGUUUUUUUUAAUAAAGUAUACUUGAUUUUAAAUGAUUAGUUUUUAAAAUGGAAAAUAUCACAGACAUUUCUUGCUGAUUGGUUUGAUUAGCUUUAUAAGCUAUGUCGGCUUCCCUCAAUGCGGUAGAUUUUCCUGUUUUGUAAGCUGGUGCCCUAAUGUUCCUUCCAUUUAGAUAUAGCACUAAGCCAGUAGUCAGAUAAGCAUUCCCUCACAGUCUGCAUUUAGAACUGUUAAUGACAAGGUAUUAGAGGACAUAAUUGCCUCACAGGAAAAAGUGAGUUAGAAAACUUUGACAGAUGUUCCUGGACUUUUUAUUCCUGUUUUGGCUCUAUUUAUAUUAAGGGAAUAAUCAUGUAUGUUAAGGUGAUGUUUAUUCCUAGAUCUUUUCAUCCCAGGAAUAAAAUGAAUGGUUAAAAUGCCUUUCUGAAUGAUGUAGAAAUUUCAGUCAGCAGUUUUUAAUCCCAAAUUUUUAACUGGUUGUACUUGGGAAGGUCAUUAUGCUUUUUGGUAUAUUGGCCAUGAGAGUGUUAUACAUUUUGCCUGCUUGAGUGCACUGUUAAGAGUUUGAUUUUUUUUCUAAUAAGCUCUUGGUAAGUCUGGAGCAGUUCUCCCACUAUAGAAUAUAAUUUUUUUUUUAGAUGAAACCAUACUGGAAGCACAAUAAGUAAAACAAAUAAAAAUGAAAUGAAUCUCUCCCCUUUCUCCACAUCCUUGCCAACACUUGUUAUUUGUAGUCUCUUUGGUGAUAGCCAUUCUGACAGGUGUGAGGUGAUUAUCACAUUGUAGUUUCAAUUUGCAUUUCUCUGAUGAUUAAUGAUGUUGAAUAUCUUUUCAUGUGCCUGUUAGCUAUCUGUAUAUAUUCUUUGAAAAAUUGUCUAUUCAGCUCCUUUGCCCAUUUUUUGAUAAUAAAAAUAUAUUUGGAUAUAAAUAAUAUAUUUGUCCUUUUUGAUCACAUCAUUUGCAAAUAUUUUCUCCUGUUCUAUAUGUUGUUCUCUCAUUUUAUCGAUGGUUUCGUUUGCUGUGCAAAAGCUUUUAUGUUUAAUUAGGUCCCAUUU
rnacentral:lncRNA from 1 species